CUUGGUCAUUUAGAGGAAGUAAAAGUCGUAACAAGGUUUCCGUAGGUGAACCUGCGGAAGGAUCAUCGUAGAAAUUCGUUGGCAUUUACAAACCCCGUGUGCACUCUGUUACCUUUACACGCUUUUGAAGUCAUUGGAAUGGCCUUUUUGAAAAAUAAAUACAACUUUCAACAACGGAUCUCUUGGCUCUCGCAUCGAUGAAGAACGCGGCGAAAUGCGAUAAGUAAUGUGAAUUGCAGAAUCCAGUGAAUCAUCGAGUCUUUGAAUGCACCUUGCGCCCCUUGGUAUUCCGAGGGGCAUGCCCGUUUGAGUGUCGUGGUAUCCUCAACCUCUUGGUUGGACUUGGGCGCUGCAGGCUUGUCCUGCUCGCCUCAAAUGAAUUAGCUGCGCUGGUUUGGCUGGGAUGUGAUAGUUCUUUACGUCUUGCCUCGCUUUGCUGUCGGCUUUUUUGACUCUCCACUUGACCUUUGACCUCAAAUCGGGUAAGACUACCCGCUGAACUUAAGCAUAUCAAUAAGCGGAGGA
rnacentral:rRNA from 1 species